rnacentral:rRNA from 1 species
UACGUAGGGGGCAAGCGUUGUUCGGAUUUACUGGGCGUAAAGGGCGCGUAGGCGGCGCGACAAGUCACUUGUGAAAUCUCCGGGCUUAACUCGGAGCGGCCAAGUGAUACUGUCGUGCUAGAGUGCGGAAGGGGCAACUGGAAUUCUCGGUGUAGCGGUGAAAUGCGUAGAUAUCGAGAGGAACACCUGCGGCGAAGGCGGGUUGCUGGGCCGACACUGACGCUGAAGCGCGAAAGCCAGGGGAGCGAACUGG